rnacentral:rRNA from 1 species
CAGCAGCCGCGGUAAUACGUAGGUGGCAAGCGUUGUCCGGAAUUAUUGGGCGUAAAGCGCGCGCAGGCGGUCCUUUAAGUCUGAUGUGAAAGCCCACGGCUCAACCGUGGAGGGUCAUUGGAAACUGGGGGACUUGAGUGCAGAAGAGGAAAGCGGAAUUCCACGUGUAGCGGUGAAAUGCGUAGAGAUGUGGAGGAACACCAGUGGCGAAGGCGGCUUUCUGGUCUGUAACUGACGCUGAGGCGCGAAAGCGUGGGGAGCAAACAGGAUUAGAUACCCUGGUAGUCCACGCCGUAAACGAUGAGUGCUAAGUGUUAGAGGGUUUCCGCCCUUUAGUGCUGCAGCUAACGCAUUAAGCACUCCGCCUGGGGAGUACGGCCGCAAGG